UGUGCAGGCGCGUCCGCGUGGGUGAAUACGAGGCUCGCUCGCGGUCGCCGUAACUACUGCUUUUGGGGCGGGCAGGAGCCCUCACAACGUGUUUUUCGCUUUGCAUUAUUUUCACACACAGGACAGCCCCACCGGUUCCCUUCCUUUGUUGAGCGCCGGAUGAACGGGGGAGCGGCCAAAAGAGUGGGGAGAGCCACGAGUCCCCCUCUCGAGCUCGCGCGAGGUUUCGGGGAAUCGGCUUCCUUCGUACUCCCCACCGCCACCCUCUUUCUCGUUUCCCUCACCCGAGUUCGUGGACGAGCAAACAACGUACGUUGCGGGCGAUUGUGUGGGUGGGGGUGUUAUUCAGACUUGUCUCGGUGGCACGACGACGUACGCGGCAUCUCUAACGCAGAGCUCGCCUGACGACAGCGAUGGGCCCUUGUCCAGCCAGAGACGUCAGAGAAGCGCCGAUUAAAUCAAUAGCUGCAAUGGGCGUGCGGGACCGGCUUUCACGGCACUUCAUAUAAUAUGGCAAGGUGCGAUGGAUAAAAGUAAUUUUUGUACGUGCGCACACUAUGGUAAGUAGCCAGAAGCAGAGAGUGGAGCGAGUAAUUGCGUUUGAAGAAGGGUUCUACUGCUGACCGGUGAUUGGUCUGCGCCUGAUCAACCGCGGACCAUGAGGCAUGGGAUGAGAGGCGACGAGUAAAACACAGUUUAUUCAAAAGGA